CCCUUAGAUGUUCUGGGCCGCACGCGCGCUACACUGAUGCAUUCAACGAGCCUAUCCUUGACCGACAGGUCCGGGUAAUCUUUGAAUCUGCAUCGUGACGGGGAUAGAUUAUUGCAAUUAUUAAUCUUCAACGAGGAAUGCCUAGUAGGCGCAAGUCAUCAGCUUGCGUCGAUUACGUCCCUGCCCUUUGUACACACCACCCGUCGCUCCUACUGAUUGGGUGAUCCGGUGAGCUGUUCGGCCAUAGCAAUGUUUCUUGAGCAGGGCAAUGAAUGUUUCGCAAACCUUGGCACUUAGAGGAAGGAGAAGUCGUAACA
rnacentral:rRNA from 1 species